ACGAUUUCAUUUUGGGAGUCUAACUUAGACUCCCAAAAUGAAAUAAAAAUAUCUCUUAGACUCUAAGAGAUAUUUUUAUUUCAUUUAUUAUUUCGCAGGUCAAUACAAUAAAAUGACAAAAAACAAAGAAAAGCGCCCGCCGGAUUGCUAAUACUAGUAAUAGGUUAACCUUAUUACUAUCUGGUAGCAACAGUAGCCACUGUGCACCGUCGGUUGUUCCGUGUGGGCACUACACAGUACAGUGAAACUGGAGUUGGUGACGUACGUGUUGUUGUGUUUGGCGAGCACUGGCGAUUGUCUCGAUACACCAAUCAAACCAAUCAGAGAGCCACUCGGAGACCCACCUGAAAGUGAAGUAGUUUACAGCAGUGAAACCCCUGCAGACCUAGAUGCACUGAACCUUAAGUGUCAGGAGUAUCACAAAUCACCUGACUACAUUUGGGAGCCUGUGCAGGAGGUAUGCAUCUCAUGUCGCCUUUGCCAAGACUCAAAGGAUGUGCACUGUCAAUCAUGCAAGAAGGCCACAACCACCCAGGUUGGUGAGGUUACAAAGCCUCUGUCAUCCUUGGACCUGAUUGCAAGCCCGAACGAGACUCAGAAAAAUGUCCCUUCUACUGCCCUUCCUGGACACGAUGUGCCAAAGCUAACAGAGAACACCAAACUUGGGGCUGUUGCCAUUGCAGCAAUAGUCUUGGGAUGUGUUUCUAGUGUGUCCAUACUGGUCGCAGUAACCCUCAUGGGGAUUCGCUUCUUCUGGAAGAGAAACCGGCAAGCAAAUGAUAAGGCACCAACUGACGGUACUCCUCGCACAGACGGAGAAAGGAAUGAAGGAGAGGAGAGAUGCCCACUGAGAGCACACAUCCCUCAGCAGGACCACGAACCGGUCCCGUCACAUCAUCCGCAAGAUCCCAACAUCAUAACGGUCACUCCUGCCGAUGCAGGUGUGGCCAUGGAUGAGAUGGUGUAGGUGUAAGAAGAGCUGCAUGGGACCCUGAAGCAAUCAUACCGUGACGAACAAAAAAGGAAUACAGAAUAAAAAAGAAUCGAAGUAGGUACAGCGAAAGUGCGUAACCGGUCCGUGUGUAUACCGUCCAUUGAUUUUUUGUUCUCGUUUAAUUCCACAAACGCAAAUUGCAAUCGUUUCCCGUUCUUAUUAGUUCAAAACAGGAAACCGUCCUCCCUCCAUUGGUAAGCAUGUUGUUCAUUUUUUUCUGCAGAAAAGCGAUCAACAAUUAUGAUCCCUUUUUCAUUUUUAUUUCAAAGAUGAAAUUGGUAAAACAUUCAGUUGUUCGUUUUGUGAAAAAUCUUUUGGUAGAUACAUACACGGACCGCGUGCCAUGGUGUGAGGUGCUUCCUGAGCCUUGAUUUGUUUAU